GAUGAAGAACGUAGCGAAAUGCGAUAAGUAAUGCGAAUUGCAGAAUUCAGUGAAUCAUCGAAUCUUUGAACGCACAUUGCGCCCGCUAGUAUUCUGGCGGGCAUGCCUGUUCGAGCGUCAUUUCAACCAUCAAGCCCCCGGCUUGUGUUGGGGACCUGCGGCUGCCGCAGGCCCUGAAAAGCAGUGGCGGGCUCGCUGUCACACCGAGCGUAGUAGCAUACAUCUCGCUCUGGGCGUGCUGCGGGUUCCGGCCGUUAAACCACCUUCAUAACCCAAGGUUGACCUCGGAUCAGGUAGGAAGACCCGCUGAACUUAAGCAUAUCAAUAAGCGGAGGA
rnacentral:misc_RNA from 1 species